UACGUAGGUGGCGAGCGUUGUCCGGAUUUACUGGGCGUAAAGGGCGUGCAGGCGGUUUGUUAAGUGCAGGGUGAAAGCUCCCGGCUCAACUGGGAGAGGUCCUUGCAUACUGGCGAACUCGAGGGAGGCAGAGGAAAGUGGAAUUCCCGGUGUAGUGGUGAUAUGCGUAGAGAUCGGGAAGAACACCCGUGGCGAAGGCGGCCGGCUGGGCCGGAUCCGACGCUGAGGCGCGAAAGCGUGGGGAGCAAACAGG
rnacentral:rRNA from 1 species